UACGAAGGGUGCAAACGUUGCUCGGAAUUAUUGGGCGUAAAGCGCACGUAGGCGGCCCAGCAAGUCGGAAGUGAAAUCCCACGGCUCAACCAUGGAAGUGCUUUCGAAACUGCUGGGCUUGAGUACAAAAGAGGAUCGCGGAAUUCCCGGUGUAGAGGUGAAAUUCGUGAGAUAUCGGGAGGAACACCAGUGGCGAAGGCGGCGAUCUGGGUUGAUACUGACGCUGAGGUGCGAAAGCGUCGGGGAGCAAACAGG
rnacentral:rRNA from 1 species